rnacentral:misc_RNA from 1 species
AAGUCGUAACAGGCCUGGUUGGCGCGAUGGACUGAAGCGAUCGAGAAAGUACAUCAGAGAGGUACAAUCAUGGGGUGGGCCGUCGAGUCGCGUGGAUUGUACCACCACGCGGUAAGGCCCGUAGAGCAUAAUAUGUGCACCUUGCAUUCCUCUCGCGCACUGAGUAGAUCGUGGAAGGUUGUGCCGCGGUUAGCAAUAGCCGCACAAUCAAGUUCAACUGUUCGGGCUCCCUAGGACCUACUGGCAAGUGUUGGGAAGUUCUAGGCUAGCCGUCAUAAAAAACGUACAACUGUUAGCAAUGGAUAUCUUGGUUCCCG